rnacentral:rRNA from 1 species
UACGUAGGGUGCAAGCGUUAAUCGGAAUUACUGGGCGUAAAGCGUGCGCAGGCGGUUUUGUAAGUCUGGCGUGAAAUCCCCGGGCUUAACCUGGGAAUUGCGUUGGAGACUGCAAGGCUGGAAUCUGGCAGAGGGGGGUAGAAUUCCACGUGUAGCAGUGAAAUGCGUAGAGAUGUGGAGGAGCACCGAUGGCGAAGGCAGCCCCCUGGGCUAAGAUUGACGCUCAUGCACGAAAGCGUGGGGAGCAAACAGG